ACUCGAAGUUGAAGGGGAAGAGUAUUUUUUGUUUUUCUUUUUGGUUCACAAAGAACCUCAUAAGAUUGGUGCAGACUUCUGUCUCAUGAGCUGCUGUCCACACUGCCUGCGGAGCUUUGAAAACAAUAUAAGGGUCAACGAACCCAAUACUAUUGUCAUUUCUGAUUCUGAGCUCUCUCAUUUGGUGCCUGCAUAUAUACAUACAAAUCCAAAGUGUGUAAGGAUUAUAUAAAUGUAAUUAAAGAAGUUAGAAGUAUAAUAAAAAGAAAAAUAUACUUACAGACAAAAGCAGCUGACAAGAGAUUUGUCGAGAGCGUCGAGGUGACAUAAUUGGUGCAAUUCUUCGAACUGCACGUAUAUGAGGUCAUCUCCAUGGAAGUAGUGAUGUUGUCUAAUACGAA
rnacentral:lncRNA from 1 species